UACGUAGGGCGCAAGCGUUGUCCGGAAUUAUUGGGCGUAAAGAGCUCGUAGGCGGUUUGUCGCGUCUGCCGUGAAAGCCCGGGGCUUAACUCCGGGUCUGCGGUGGAUACGGGCAGACUAGAGGCAGGUAGGGGAGAACGGAAUUCCCGGUGUAGCGGUGAAAUGCGCAGAUAUCGGGAGGAACACCAGUGGCGAAGGCGGCUACCUGGACCGGUUCUGACACUGAGGAGCGAAAGCGUGAGGAGCGAUCCGG
rnacentral:rRNA from 1 species